rnacentral:misc_RNA from 1 species
GAUGAAGAACGUAGCGAAAUGCGAUAAUUAAUGUGAAUUGCAGAAUUUAGUGAAUCAUCGAAUCUUUGAACGCACAUUGCGCCCCUUGGUAUUCCGGGGGGCAUGCCUGUUCGAGCGUCAUUUCAACCCUCAAGCUCUGCUUGGUCUUGGGCCGCGCCGGCAACGGCGGGCCUCAAAAACAGUGGCGGCGCCAUCUGGUCCCUCAGCGUAGUAAUUCUUCUCGCUGCUGGGCCCCGGUGGCCGCUUGCCAGCGACCCCAAACUUUCUAUGGUUGACCUCGGAUCAGGUAGGGAUACCCGCUGAACUUAAGCAUAUCAAUAAGCGGAGGA